GACGGGGGAUGCGAGCGUUAUCCGGAAUGAUUGGGCGUAAAGGGUCCGCAGGUGGCCCGGUCAGUCCGCUGUCAAAGCCUGGGGCUCAACCCUGGAGAGGCGGCGGAGACCACCGGGCUUGAGUCCGGUAGGGGCAGAGGGAAUUCCCGGUGGAGCGGUGAAAUGCGUAGAUAUCAGGAGGAAUACCGGUGGCGAAGGCGGCCUUCUGGACGAUGACUGACGCUGAGACGCGAAAGCGUGGGGAGCAAACAGG
rnacentral:rRNA from 1 species